ensembl:snRNA U6 U6 spliceosomal RNA
GUACUCACUUCAGUAGCACACAUACUAAAAUUGGAAUGAUACAGAGAGGUUUAGCAUGUGCCCUGCACAAGGACAACAUGCAAAUUUCUGAAGUAUUCCACAAAUGC